AUCCUGGCUCAGGACGAACGCUGGCGGCGUGCUUAACACAUGCAAGUCGAACGGUGACGAGGAGCUUGCUCCUCCGAUCAGUGGCGAACGGGUGAGUAACACGUGAGUAACCUGCCCCAGACUCUGGGAUAACAGUUGGAAACAGCUGCUAAUACCGGAUACGAGACGGAGAGGCAUCUCUACCGUCUGGAAAGUUUUUCGGUCUGGGAUGGACUCGCGGCCUAUCAGCUUGUUGGUGAGGUAAUGGCUCACCAAGGCGACGACGGGUAGCCGGCCUGAGAGGGCGACCGGCCACACUGGGACUGAGACACGGCCCAGACUCCUACGGGAGGCAGCAGUGGGGAAUAUUGCACAAUGGGCGAAAGCCUGAUGCAGCGACGCCGCGUGAGGGAUGACGGCCUCGG
rnacentral:rRNA from 1 species